AUUGAACGCUGGCGGCGUGCUUAACACAUGCAAGUCGUGCGGUAACAGGCGUAGCAAUACGUGCUGACGAGCGGCGAACGGGUGCGUAAUACAUGGGAAUCUGCCCUUUAGGUGGGGAACUAACCCGGCGAAAGCCGGGCUAAUGCCGCAUAAGAUCUUCGGAUGAAAGCGGGGGAUCGUAAGACCUCGCGCUGAUGGAUGA
rnacentral:rRNA from 1 species